AGAACAGCAAGUGACAAGACUGAGGCAGGCAGAGUGGCCGAGCGGGGUAGAGGGGCUGGAGACAGCAGUCAUGUGGAUGUUUUGGCACACAGGGGUCUGAAGGAGCCUGAUUGUUGAAGCAAAACUUCCCGUUUACCUACUGAUUGGAGGGUUUUUGAGCAUCUGGAAGCCAGAACAAAAAUGACCAUCCAUCCUCCCGCUGACCUUCCAGAUGACUGCAGGUGCAUGAGCACGCCCAGCAGGGAUCAGCUGAGCAAAAUCACCUCGCCGAAUCAUAGCUUGGCAGACUGUGUCCUGCUGAAAUUUUCCUUCACAGAAGGAGGGAAAGCUGCUGAGAAAACAUGGAAACACAGAAAGAGGAAAGUAAAAAGUACCCAGGGAGCCUCUGAGUUUGUGUGUGCACGUGGGUGAGGUCGCCAAAGGGGAGCAAACCUCCUACUUCCUGCAGCUCAGAUUACUUAUCAA
rnacentral:lncRNA from 10 species